GAUGAACGCUGGCGGCGUGCCUAAUACAUGCAAGUCGAGCGAAGCGGGGACGGGUGAGUAACACGUCGAUAACCUCCUAUAAGACUGGGAUAACUUCGGGAAACCGGAGCUAAACCGGAUACUUAUACAUGGUUCCUCGUGGCAUUAGCUAGUUUGUACGGUAACGGCUGACCAAGGCAACUAUCCAUAGCCGACCUGCGCGGGUGAUCGGCCACACUGGAACUGAGACACGGUCCAGACUCCUACGGGAGGCAGCAGUAGGGAAUCUUCCGCAAUGGGCGAAAGCCUGACGGAGCCACGCCGCGUGAGUGAAGAAGGUCUUCGGAUUGUAAAGCACUGUUAGUAGGGAGGCGGUACCUAAAGAGAAAGCCACGGCUAACUACGUGCCAGCAGCCGCGGUAAUUC
rnacentral:rRNA from 1 species